rnacentral:rRNA from 1 species
UCGAACGAGAUCCCGGAGCUUGCUCCGGGGGACAGUGGCGAACGGGUGAGUAACACGUGAGAAACCUGCCCUAGAGACCGGGACAACCGUUGGAAACGGCGGCUAAUACCGGAUGCCUUCACACGGUCGCAUGGCCGAGUGAAGAAAUGCUCAGGUGCUCUAGGAGGGUCUCGCGGCCUAUCAGCUAGUUGGUGAGGUAACGGCUCACCAAGGCAUCGACGGGUAGCUGGUCUGAGAGGACGAUCAGCCACACUGGGACUGAGACACGGCCCAGACUCCUACGGGAGGCAGCAGUAGGGAAUCUUGCGCAAUGGGGGCAACCCUGACGCAGCAACGCCGCGUGUGGGAUGACGGCUUUCGGGUUGUAAACCACUUUCAGUGAUGACGAAAAUGACGGUAAUCACAGAAGAAGGUCCGGCCAACUACGUGCCAGCAGCCGCGGUAACACGUAGGGACCGAGCGUUGUCCGGAUUUAUUGGGCGUAAAGAGCUCGUAGGCGGUUCUGUAAGUCGGAUGUGAAAACUCAGGGCUCAACCCUGAGACGCCAUCUGAUACUGCAGUGACUAGAGUCCGGUAGAGGAAGAUGGAAUUCCUGGUGUAGCGGUGGAAUGCGCAGAUAUCAGGAGGAACACCAACGGCGAAGGCAGUCUUCUGGGCCGGCACUGACGCUGAGGAGCGAAAGCAUGGGGAGCAAACAGGAUUAGAUACCCUGGUAGUCCAUGCCGUAAACGUUGGGCACUAGGUGUGGGGUCUUCUAACGGAUUCCGUGCCGUAG